UGCUCCAUCUUGCUUCACUUUCUUCUUCUUCUUUGUUAUUCUAUUCAUUCUGUUUUUGUCUCUUCUACAUGUGCUGAUAAUUGCUCAUUUCUUUUUGUCUUUGUUUUAUUUUAGUUUGAUAUUUUUACCAAGGAUUUUGAGAUUUUCUCUUAGGGUUUGGAAAUUUGAGGUUUUCAGAAUUUAAUUAAGUUUUCAUUUCAGAGGAAUUGAAAGAUGUGAUACUGACGAUUGACUUAGAUGCUUCUCCACGGACAGAGAUUUGAUUCGGAGAUAAUCGUGAAUAGAGUCGCGAUGUUGAUGAAUGAGAUGGAGUUUUCUUGUGCCUAGAGAACUACUAAAGAAGCAGCAUAGCCAGUAACAACUUUCUGAUACAUUCAACCUUUAUUUGAAGAAAGUAGAGAGUUCAAAAAAAGCUUGAGGAGCUAAAUAUGCGCGGAAAUAUCUAAUGAGAAAAAAAAUGUGGACUGUGACAACGAGAACAAGUCUAACAAUCAAGACAAGCCUCAUCAAAUAGGAGGAAAAGGUGAGAAGCACAACUUUCAGGCAAAGCAGAUCAAACGGAAAUCUUAACAAGAAAAGGAAGGAUGAAGAAGAUGCAAGCAAUGAAAAUCCUGCAAUUGCAAAGAGAACUCAUGCUUUUUGGUCUAUAAAGUUUCACAGGGAUUCCUAAUGAACACUUCACAUAGAGCUUCAUAGGAAGCUUAUUGCAGCAGUUAAUUAUUUAUGCAUUGGAAGUGAUUUUCUUUAGCAUCACUGUGGAAGAUUUUGACCUGAUGAAUGUUGAUGGAGUUACAAGAGGGAAUGUGGCAAGCCAUCUCCAGGUACUCUUCUUUCGAUGAGGUCGGGAGAAAAUGACGAUGCUGCAGACGAGAAUGGAUGGAGGUUGCUUGAACAAGUUUAAGAUGAGCCCCUAUACGUAAAACCACUUGGUGUCAUAAGUCAUUGAAUGCUUGUUUAGUUGGUAAAAAAGAAUUACGUCUAUGCUUUGUGAUGAGAUGAGUUUCAGAUAGCUGGUUGCUAUAGUUCUACUGAGUGCCAGGAAAAGUACAUAUGGAGGGUGGUUUAGAUUCUAAACAGCCAAUUGACACUUUAUAUUUCCUCCUUUCACUCAGUAAUCAAGUAGUCUCAGCUGUUGAACUGAACAACCAUUUUGCUGAUAUUAGGUUCAUCCGGCUACCAGCUAUAAGAGAUGUACAGGCAAAUUGAAAGAUUGAAUCUGACAUGAAUAUUGACGAUUAAUCAGAAUCUUCUGCACUGACAGAGAUUAGAUUCAGAUGUUACGGCGAGUGACAGGUGCUCUUGAUUAGAGAAAGAUCAGGCGGUGCUAAUGAUGCACAUAAAAUAUCUGAUAAAAUGUCCUGCAAGAAAAUAGUGCCUACUGCAUCAGGAGAUGGCUCUACAAUAGUUGCUGAUACCUUGAAAUAAUACAUAGAGAUGAUAUCGAUAUGCCAGAUAUGUUCUCUUACUUUCUAAUACUACUUGGACCUCAGGGAGCUGCUCUAUUAUUAGCUAAAGAAAUAGAUAAGGAGAAGCUUAUUUUUCUGUUGUUGCAUGUCUAUGUCUUAGUUAUUUGCUUUGCAACUUGAACUAUUUUGAUGCGUGAUUUCCGUAGGAAUGUGCAACCGUGGUAGUAUCAAUUAUCCUCAAGUCCAAUAGAAAUUUCACCUUAACUUCUAUUUGCAUACAAGCCAAUUGUUUGUGGAUCUCUUUUUCUUCUGAGAUUAAUUAUGAUUUGUGGGUCAAUACUCAGGACAUGUUUAUGUCAAAUAAUAAAAUGUAUAAUGGUAAUUAUUCUUGGUAUAAAGGAUGAAAAUAAAGAACUGAAAAAGAAUAAGAAAGACAAUAUUUAGACUACAUGGGAGUAAGAACCUUUUACAUUUACAUGCUUGGACCAUUUCGCUUAUUAGAAUUGCAUUGAGAGUUGAUAAAAGUGCACAUAAAUCCUAUGCUGAGAAUUUUAAAAAUUAAUUGAAGAGUGCCCGUGUCAUAGUUCGUUCAUGUUUUAAACGGUAGAAUAGGGGUGUGCUGCAAUUUUGAAAAGCUGAAAGACAAAAAGUGGAAGAACAAUGCUCCACAGGAAUGCUCAAAGAAUUCUUCCUUCAAUAGUCUUCACAUAAGCAAUAAACAAGAUACAUCCUUAUGACCGAUUAGGCUCUUACUGGUACAAUUUUGCAGGUGGUGGUUCCUUUUAGGUAUCAGAUAUUCUCGAUAAUUUGACUUUUUCUUUUUGGAAUUUCGGAAGAUUCAAGUGACCAAAUUAAUGAUGCUAUUGAAAGGGUCCCAAGAGUUAAGUUUGUUGCUGGAGCUUUUGAGUACCCUCCGAGUUAUAAGUCAUUGUUGGAUAUUGUUUGUUAUGAAGUAUGUUUGUAUUGUCUCUUGUCAUCUGUAACUUUAUUUCCUUUCCUCUAUCUUAUUUUGUUGAAUUCUUUAACUGAACUUGAGAAUUCAAUAAAGAACUAGAUCGAGGAACUUCAAAUUGCUUAAAAUGAAACUGAAAAUCCUCUCAAGGAAGAGCAAACUGAAUAUAGAGGUUUACAUCUUCUUUUAGAUUAGACUUCUAGUUGCUCUUAGUUUCAUGAGAAACAUUAGGAAUUCAUUAUCUGCUGCAAGAUAAAAGUCAAUUACAGUUACAUGCUCUUUUCUUUGCAGUUAGUUAGAGCUGCAUGUUCUUUUUAUGCUUUGUACCUACGAUUAGAUUUAGACAUGGAUUUGAAUAAUGUCCUCUAGCUCUAUUGCAGAACACAUUGAUAUGAUUUUUUACUUGCUUCUAAUAGUUUUCAAGCUUCUAUUAGCUUCUGGUAUGUUGCAUGCUUAGAUUAAAUUUACUUGGACUGUGAAAGAUUAUUGUUUCCAUUUGUUGUAUCAUAAUUAAAACAAAUUUUAUAAGGAUGCUUAAUAACUAAGAUUGGUAGAUACGUUUUAGACUUUUAGUUGAUUUGGACUGUGAAGGAACCAAACUUAUGUUCAAACUUAAGUUGAGACAGUACCUUAUAUUGGGUAUCUAACAAUAAAUAGUUUUAUAUACUUGAGAGAUAGACGACUCAAACUAGGAUGUGAAGUGUUUCAUAAUAACCGAUUAGAGAGGAAGAGUUGAUUGGAAACUCCCUCUUCGAUUUACCAUCUAACACUUCAUAUCUGCUGCUAAUCGAGUUCAUUUUGUGGGAACACGAUCAAGGGAUGGGUUUUUCUAUCCACAAUUGAUUUACUUCCUGAAAAAUCUUCUAAUGAGCUAAGGUGGCAGAAAGCACAACUUACACAGGCAAAGAAGAAUCUGAGAUGCAUUUUUGAAGUCAUGAUGAUGAUGAGAAUGGUAGUGGGCAGGUUGUCUAUCAGUACUAGAAAAGACACGUUCAAGGCACUUGAUGCGGUGGAAAAUAUUGUAGCAGAUUUUUUUGUCAUGAAAGAGUUUCAUCCGGCAACAACUUACUUUUGUUAUCAACCACAACUGCUGAAUUUGUUAUCAGUUACAACUACCAAAAUUCAAAUUCCAUGCCACUCUAACAUAUCUCAUACAUAUGUUGGUCCACUUAUAAUUCACUAUUUCUGUCUUUCUAGCAAGCUCAUUGUAUAACUUUGUUCCCCAAACGAAUAUAAUGUACUACUAAGCAUAAUAUGUUAAUAUUUAGUUUAAUCAUGUUUUCUUUAUUUCCAUCUCAUUAGUGUAACGCAAAAUGCCCGUGCCUUGCACGGGCACAGGCUAUCUAGUAUUUUAUAGAAAUGAGAGUUGUGGAGGACGAACAGGUAUGAACA